AAGAGAUUGCCUAAAUGGAUCCUAGACUAGUAAAAAAUGCAUAGAAGUUUGAAAUAAAUUGAGAUCCAAUAUUAUGAGUUGAUUAUCAGUACCAUACAUAAAACAAAGGAGUUCUUGAUUCAAAGGUGAACCAUUUCAUGAAAUUAUGAUAUUCUAAACAGUGAAUUUGUGUUUUCAAGUAAACAAGAAGCUAAAGCGUAAUCAAAGGAUUUGUCGACCUAUUGUGGAAGAUUGAAAUGGUACGAUUCUGCUUGAUGAUCGUGGAAGCCAGCGAUUCUGCUUCUAC